AUUGAACGCUGGCGGCAGGCCUAACACAUGCAAGUCGAGCGGAUGAGGGGUGCUUGCACCCUGAUUCAGUGGCGGACGGGUGAGUAAUGCCUAGGAAUCUGCCCGAUAGUGGGGGACAACGUUUCGAAAAGAACGCUAAUACCGCAUACGUCCUACGGGAGAAAGUGGGGGCUCUUCGGACCUCACGCUAUCGGAUGAGCCUAGGUCGGAUUAGCUAGUUGGUGGGGUAAAGGCUCACAAAGGCGACGAUCCGUAACUGGUCUGAGAGGUUGAUCAGUGACACUGGAACUGAGACACGGGCCAGACUCCUACGGGAGGCAGCAGUGGGGAAUAUUGGACAAUGGGCGAAAGCCUGAUCCAGCCAUGCCGCGUGUGUGAAGAAGGUCUUCGGAUUGUAAAGCACUUUAAGUCGGGAGGAAGGGCUGUAGGUUAAUACCUUGCAGCCUUGACGUUACCGACAGAAUAAGCACCGGCUAACUUCGUGCCAGCCGCCGCUGUAAUAC
rnacentral:rRNA from 1 species